GCCGUUUCUCCUGUUUUAGUGGUCGUCACGUGUUGCAAUCCUAAGUGUGUCGUACGUCCUCAUAUUUUCACCUUUGUUUCAUGCCUCUCCGCUUCAGCUUGGUCCUACCUGUUUCACCGCGUGUUUCCAAGGUAGAGGCAGGUCUGCAGAUUGCCUGUCGUUGAUGACCUCACCAUUCCUGCUUCCCUCCCAUAUCCUCGGGUUCUCCGUUGUAUAUAACUCUUUUCUAUCUCUUGUUUUCUUAACUACUUUGUCGUCUUUCCAGUCCACUCUAAUAUUAUGUUCAUACGCUCUCCUAGCAAGUGCCCUGUUCAUCGAUCCUCUUUUUACAUUACAUUUGUGCUCUUUUAACUUAUCUUCCAAAUUUCUCGCUGUGGCUUCUAUGUAUAUUUCUCUUAUUCCUUUAUCUACAUUUAUGAUG
rnacentral:lncRNA from 1 species